rnacentral:lncRNA from 1 species
GCCUGAUUCAAAGAGUCAGGCCAAAGUGCCACCCAAGAACUCACAGACAAAGCCUUAACCAGAAAAGGAUGAAGCCUUAAAACAGAUCUUGAAUAAAGCUUAUAGAGCCUUGAAUGCAAAGAGGUGGAAGCUCAGACCCGGGAGAAAAUCUUACUCUCAAACUCCAGAAUUGGCAAGAAUAGCGGCGAGGUCAAUGUGCUCUUUUGUGGGUACCACACCUGUUUGCUUGCCAGUCUGGGAGUCGUCAGGGGUCUUCUCUGGAUCCCUAAUCUACUAUCCUCCAUGGAGACAGACACCGCCAAGGACAAGCACCUGGAUUCAUCAUCUGGAAAUACAGGCUGGUGGGAAAGCUGCUGACCAGCAAGAUCACGGACUCCCUCCUCUCUGCAAGUAGUCUCAAGGCCAAAGACAGCCUGGUGGGAAAGCUCUGACCAGCAAAGCCAUAUGCUCCCCUUCCCCUACCUAAAACCCCAAAUAAAACCCUUCCUUUUAGUUUUCUGGGGAGUUUUGGAUUUCAGCAUUAGCUGCCCUCUCUCCUUGCUCAGUGCUGUGCAAUAAUAAAAUUCCUACUUUCUUCCACUACACCCGGUGUCAG